rnacentral:rRNA from 1 species
UAGGGAAUCUUCGGCAAUGGGGGCAACCCUGACCGAGCAACGCCGCGUGAGUGAAGAAGGUUUUCGGAUCGUAAAGCUCUGUUGUAAGUCAAGAACGAGUGUGAGAGUGGAAAGUUCACACUGUGACGGUAGCUUACCAGAAAGGGACGGCUAACUACGUGCCAGCAGCCGCGGUAAUACGUAGGUCCCGAGCGUUGUCCGGAUUUAUUGGGCGUAAAGCGAGCGCAGGCGGUUUGAUAAGUCUGAAGUUAAAGGCUGUGGCUCAACCAUAGUUCGCUUUGGAAACUGUCAAACUUGAGUGCAGAAGGGGAGAGUGGAAUUCCAUGUGUAGCGGUGAAAUGCGUAGAUAUAUGGAGGAACACCGGUAGCGAAAGCGGCUCUCUGGUCUGUAACUGACGCUGAGGCUCGAAAGCGUGGGGAGCGAACAGGAUUAGAUACCCUGGUAGUCCACGCCGUAACGAUGAGUGCUAGGUGUUGGAUCCUUUCCGGGAUUCAGUGCCGCAGCUAACGCAUUAAGCACUCCGCCUGGGGAGUACGACCGCAAGGUU